UGACGCUCCUAUUGAUAUUGAACAUUGCUGCCAUUGUUUCGGUCUAGCUGGAAAAUAGACAUUCCAUCUACAAAGUGCAACAGUAACAAUAUUGUUUUCGUCAACAUAAUCGUUCACGCUUUCCUGUUUCUUUUUUUUCUGAAGUGGUUUAGAUUGUUGAUUGAUAGGUCAGAUAUUUUGGAAGGCACAUUUUACAUGACACAAGGG
rnacentral:lncRNA from 1 species